rnacentral:rRNA from 1 species
AUGGACAACUUUGUUUUCCUUCCUGUUGUUGGCACCAGAGGGGGCAUCCUCAUUGCCGCCUCCUCUGAUCACAUCAAAGUUACUCCGCAACCGCCGUUACAGGGGACUUUCUCAGUGUCCGUGCUGAUCACCGACCUCUGCUGCAACUCGUCUUGGCUAUUGACAGGGGUCUACGGCCCACAAUCUGACGAGGACAAACUCAACUUCUUGAAUGAGAUCAGACACAUCAAAGCCUUGGCUCCGUCUGAAUGGGUUGUACUUGGAGACUUUAACCUUAUUAGUCGUGCAUCCGAGAAGAGCAACAGCAAUAUCAACCUUCGUAUGAUUCGUGCCUUUCGUGCCGCCAUUGAUGAUCUGCAUUUAAAGGAAUUGCCCCUGAUCGGACGCCGCUUCACCUGGUCAAAUGAAAGGUUGAAUUCUACCCUAACCAAGAUAGACAAAGUGUUGUUCACUGAGGAGUGGGAAUCAAGAUACCCUGACUUCCAGCUACUGCCGGGAUCCACUGACAUCUCUGACCAUUGCCCUCGGAUCAUG